CCUACGGGAGACAGCAGUGGGGAAUAUUGCGCAAUGGGCGAAAGCCUGACGCAGCGACGCCGCGUGGGGGAUGCAGGUCUUCGGAUCGUAAACCUCUGUCAGCAGGGAAGAAUGGACACUGUGCUAUUCAGCAGUGAAUUGACGGUACCUGCAAAGGAAGCACCGGCUAACUCCGUGCCAGCAGCCGCGGUAAUACGGAGGGUGCGAGCGUUAAUCGGAAUUACUGGGCGUAAGGCGCUCGUAGGCGGUAUGUCAAGUCAAGGGUGAAAUCCCCGCGCUCAACGUGGGAACUGCCUUUGAAACUGGCAAACUUGAGUGUGUGAGAGGAUAGUGGAAUGCCAGGUGUAGGAGUGAAAUCCGUAGAUAUCUGGAGGAACAUCAGUGGCGAAGGCGACUAUCUGGCACAUAACUGACGCUGAGGAGCGAAAGCGUGGGUAGCAAACAGGAUUAGAUACCCCAGUAGUC
rnacentral:rRNA from 1 species